AUGUAGGGUCAUAGUAACCUAAAACCAUUUUGCCCUCCAAACCCAGAAGAUAUUGCAACUAUAUGCUACACAAGUGGGACAACUGGUACACCGAAGGGCGUAAUACUCUCCCAUGCAAAUUUGAUCGCAAAUUCUGCUGGAUCAAGCCUUGUUGUCAAAUUUUAUCCGUCUGACGUAUAUAUUUCCUAUCUUCCAUUGGCCCACAUUUAUGAGAGGGCCUAUCAAAUUGCAUUGGCAUAUUUCGGAGUUGCUGUUGGGUUUUACCAGGGGGUCGGUAA